GCAAAAACAGGCUUUGAUCCGAAGUGGGCGAAUAAUUUAUUGAGCAAGUUUGCAUGGUAGAGGAAAAAAGGGAUGUUUGUUUGAUCUGGAGCCCUCUAGGUUGCCCCAAGUGCUGUUGGCUGUUGUUUUGAGUGGAAAAGCAUUUGGUUCUGCAGCAAAUGCCUCAGCUUUGACCUCCCUGACUCAAACUAUCCUCUCACCUCAGCCUCCUGCAUAGCUAGGACCUCAGGCAUGUGCCACUACAACUGGCUAAUUUUUAAAUUUUUUGUAGAGAUGGAUCCCCCUACAUUCCCCAGGCUGGUCUCGAUCUCUUGGGCUCAAGAAAUCCUCCAGCCCCGGCCUCCCAAAGUGCUGCUACAACAUGCUGCCUGUGGCCUGGCUCAGUAGAACCAAAAACCACAUCCUCCAUUUCUAACUUUAUUGCAGGCAGAGGAACCCUUUGAGAGGGCCAGGUACCUGCAAGGCUCCCCACCAGCCCCCUCCACUGUGCCCACCCAUG
rnacentral:lncRNA from 1 species